GUUUGAUGGGAACCUUUGUUUUUUUUUUUUUUUCCUUACGCAUCCUCUGUUGUGGAGUCGGAUUUCAGUCUUCCUAUGUGUAUUUCCUCUCUCUCUAUACUAUCUUUGUUGUAAGUGGAAUUGCAAUGGUGAGGGUUUUCACAGUUGAGCUUGAUUUUCGAGUCAUUGCUACUCUGAAUUUUGCUGAUUCAUUGUUUGACGAUUGUCCAUCUUCUUCAAGAAUCCAAGCUUCAGUUCCAUUAUGUGGAACUCCUGCUUGAAUUUAGCACAAGCUUCUAGCCCCAUCCUCACCUCCCACUUUCUUCUUUUUUUUUGACUUCUAGUUCUGUUCUAUUCUUGAACCUACGGUGCUGAUGACGGACGGAGGCCACUUCCCUGUUGCAGCAAUCCGCUCGUGUGACUCCAAGCUCCGUGGAGUCCACCGUGAUGUAUGUGUUAUAUCCACUCCGCCCAUCCAUUGCGGCUGCCCAUAUUAGGACUUGAUCUAAAAAAUCAGACAGAUCAAAAACUCAAGUGGGCCGGCCACACCACAUGAAGCAAGUUUUGGAUCAUGCUGAUGUGUGUGAUUUUCCUUAUUUUUGGUGGAAAUCACCCUAUGAAUGGGUUGGAUGGCAUAUAAACAUCAUGGUGGGCUUCAAGAAUGUUUCAACGGUGCUUGUUUUCAUCCCCACUACUUCCUAUGGUGUGUACCACUUGAGUUUUGGUCAGUCACACUUUUUGGUUCGCGUCCUAACAUAGGCUGGUGGAAUCAAUGGACGGAGUGGAUAUAACACAAACAUCACAGUGGACCCCACAGAGCUCAGGGUUACAGGGAAGUUGCAUCCGCUGAUAACCUGGUGCAAUGGGCCAUAUGGAAGAAAAAUGUGAUAGUUUAGGGGAAAUAAAUGAAAAGAAAAGAAAAAUCCAACUGUCUACAUUCAAAGUGCACCUCUCCUUCUUGAUUUCUCUGUCAGGUCAUCUGCAUGGUGGGGUACGCCUUCAGCACUGUCAUGUACCAUAACCAUGAAGGUGCAUUUGAUAUUGAAGUCCCUGAAUGUGCCAUUUGAAGCACUAAACAUACCUGAGAAUAAAAUGCUGCGUCAAGGAUUGAAGGAGUACACCAACUGGCCAACAUUUCCUCAAAAAAUUAUGUUGAUGAGGAUUUCUUUGGCGACCAUGACACAACAGUUGAGAAAAGGUGGUGAAGAUUAUUUGAAUUCAAAGUGAACAUGGAAAGAUGACAUCGACAUCUUUGAGUUGAAAGUGUUUUCAUUUGGCUACUAGAAUCAAUCAAUAACAUCGAUUUCUCUCAGCUUGAAACAAGAUGCUGAAGAUGCAGAAUAGUGGUAGGUGAAAACGCUGGUAACCAGCAUGCGCGUAAGUAUCCCAUAUGCUGGGCUUUCUUCCAUCUUCAGCAGCAGCUCCUUCAACCUGCAACAGGAGCGUAGUGAGUUCCUUGUCACACAUAUUACAAAGGAGAUGAUAAAAUUAUGAUGAAGGACGCAGAGCCCAUCACAAAACAGUUGACCUGGUAAGCAGAGGAACCAGCGCCAAACACAAAACCAGGUGGGAAGUCACUUCUGCCAAUGACAGCAGCUUCACGUGUGUCAAGAGCACGCCCAUUUACAGCUAUCAAUGUAACAAGUAGGUGGAGGAGCAUGCAUAGCCUUCUUCUUUCCAUUUUUGCUUGGUUUUUAGCUCAGCUAAUGGUGUUCCUGUCUGAACGGUAAGAGGACCUUGUUAAUGAGGUGAUGCUGCAUUGAGAUCUCCGCCUUAAUAUAUUUUGAGAAAAAGGAGACUGUGACAUGGCAUUAAAUAAAGUAGGGCCUGUUUAGAUUUCCAA